rnacentral:lncRNA from 1 species
AUGAUUCCGUUUUGGGCUCUCGGAUUUGUUUGUUUAAUUAUUGGCUUCAGCACUGCUCAUGAGCCUGCAGCUGGAGCAAAUGCAGCCUCCAAAAACCACUGUUCCCGAAAAGAUUGCAAUGGAAUACAAUAUGACAUCCAAGAGGCUGCUUGCUGUGAAAACAAACUUCAUCCAGGUUCAAACCUGUUUUGUUGUGGAAAGGAGCCUUACAAUCCUGGUACAGCCACUUGUUGUAAAGUUCAACAUGGAAAGAUCCUCGCAGCCAGUGUUACUCAGGGUCUGAGUGAAAAUGUGUCCAAGUGCUGUGACCUGAAGGCCUACAACCCAGUCAAUGAAAUAUGUUGUCAAUCAACCAUCAUAUCAAAACCUGGACCAAUGGCUGAAUGCUGUGGUAAAGAUGUCUUUGAUAAGGACAAGCAGUUGUGUUGUGGUCCAGCUGAUAAUAAGACAAUUCUGGUGAGGAAUUCCCGUCACCAUGAGUGCUGUGGUCACAGCCAGUACGACACUGAGACUCAGUGCUGCUGUUCAAAUGAGGAGAAGUUGGAGAUACAAUCGAAGGAUUCAUCCUGCUGUGUCAAGAAUUUCACUCCAGGUAUGGAACAGAAGGUAAGUGUUGUGUUUCUUGGGAAGUCCAGGGGACCUCGGGAAGUAACAAUAAAAAUGUCAAGUUUGAAAAAAGGGACAAGAAGACAAAUCAGGAAUAAAAUUAUAAUUCUUCUAUUAAUUAUUAAGCAAAAAAUGUGUGUAUGUGUGUGUGUGUGUGUGUGUGUUUUAGUGCCCCCCAAAAUGUGGUUUUAG